GAAGGAAACUAGACCUCUGCCUCUCACCCUAUACAAAGAUCAACUCAAAGUAUCUCAAAUACCCAAAUAUAAGACCCAAAAUGGUAAAGCUACUAGAAGAAAACAUAGGGGAGAUCCUUCAGGACAUUGCUCUGGGAAAAUAUUUUAUGAAUAAGGCAUCAAAACAGCCUGGGCAACAGAGCAAGACUCUGUCUCAAAAAAAAAAAAAAAAAAAAAAAAGAAUUUAGUUCACUUUGGUAUUGUGUCAAAAUGUUGAUUCUUUUAAAGUAAAUCUUUUUUUUGAGACGGAGUUUCGCUCUUGUCACCCAUGCUGGAGUGUAGUGGCACAAUCUGGGCUCACUGCAACCUCCACCUCCCAGGUCCAAGCAAUUCUCUUGCCUCAGCCUCCUGAGUAGCUGGGAUCACA
rnacentral:lncRNA from 1 species